rnacentral:rRNA from 1 species
UGGUCAUUUGACUGCUAGGCAUGUGGUGUUUAGGUUGGUUCUUGGCAUUACUGCUCCACCCUAAGUCCAGCAAUGAGUACGGCUUACUGGAUUGGCCCAUUGAGGGUGAAAGGCCCGUGUGGGUGGAGACUCAGACUGUCAGUUUUGCCCUGAAUUAACCUUGGAGUCGGGUUGUUUGUGAAUGCAGCCCAAAGUGGGUGGUAAACUCCAUCCAAGGCUAAAUACUGGCACGAGUCCGAUAGCGAACAAGUACCGUGAGGGAAAGUUGAAAAGUACUUUGAAGAGAGAGUAAACAGUUCGUGAACCCGCUCAGAGGUAAACGGGUGGAGUUGAACUGGAAGCCCUGUGGAUUCAGCUGAUGAGUAUGGCAUGAGCUUGGGCAUAUUGGUCGGCUUUCAGAGUCCGCUUAGCUGCGGGUCCUUGCCCUAACGGGUUUGGAUGUGCGUUACGCUUAUUAGGCGUUGUGCGCUCUGUCUGUUCCGGGCCUGCUCGUCAGUGCACUUCCUCAGGGUGUUCACCACGACCGGCGCUGCUGUCUGUCUGUUACGGUCAAACCGGUUAGGCUUAGUCAUUUUGGCUAGGUUUGAUCGGGAUGGCAGGUGGCUCUUGAGAUUUUCUAGCUUCGGCUGGUUUAGCUCUUGAGUGUAAUUAGCCGACUGUAAUGGAUCUGUGCGGUGCGUCGGAGCUGGCGGCUUUGGUGUGUGUACCUGCUGUACUUACUGGCUUGGUCAAGUUUGGUUAAUGUGUUACCUGCUUCGGUGGGUCUAUUAAUGGCUUGACUU